CAUACUGUGGUGAAUACGUUCCCGGGCCUUGUACACACCGCCCGUCACACCAUGAGAGUUGAGAAUACCCGAAGCCCAUGUCAAAGUGGUCGAAGGUAGGCUUGAUGAUUGGGGUGAAGUCGUAACAAGGUACC
rnacentral:rRNA from 1 species